rnacentral:rRNA from 1 species
CAGUCGCCGCGGGAAUACAGAGGGUGCGAGCGUUAAUCGGAUUUACUGGGCGUAAAGCGUGCGUAGGCGGCUUUUUAAGUCGGAUGUGAAAUCCCUGAGCUUAACUUAGGAAUUGCAUUCGAUACUGGGAAGCUAGAGUAUGGGAGAGGAUGGUAGAAUUCCAGGUGUAGCGGUGAAAUGCGUAGAGAUCUGGAGGAAUACAGAUGGCGAAGGCAGCCAUCUGGCCUAAUACUGACGCUGAGGUACGAAAGCAUGGGGAGCAAACAGGAUUAGAUACCCCCGUAGUCCCUGUCUCUUAUAU